rnacentral:rRNA from 1 species
AGAGAGAGACAUGCGCGCAUAUCAAUAAGCGGAGGAAAAGAAACUAACUAGGAUUCCCUUAGUAACGGCGAGUGAAGCGGGAAGAGCUCAAAUUUGAAAUCUUCAAGGUUCUACCUUGACGAAUUGUAGUUUAUAAGAAGUGUUUUCUGUUAGUGGAGUGGCAAAAGUUCUUUGGAAUAGGACAUCAUAGAGGGUGAGAAUCCCGUAUUUGGUCAUUCCUCCUAGCGUUGUGAUACACUUUCAACGAGUCGGAUUGUUUGGGAAUGCAGUCCAAAAUGGGUGGUAAAUUUCAUCUAAAGCUAAAUAUUGGCGAGAGACCGAUAGCGAACAAGUACCGUGAGGGAAAGAUGAAAAGAACUUUGAAAAGAGAGUUAAACAGUACGUGAAAUUGUCAAAAGGGAAGCGUUUGACACCAGUGUUGUUUAGUUGAAAAUCAAUUCAAUAGUUUUUGAUUCUAAGUAGUAUUGACUUCAUCAGCUUGCUGCCUCUCUUUACAGAAACUUAUCUUGAAUGCACUUUCAGUUAACAAGUCAACAUCAAUUUACUUUUGUUGUAAAAGGGUAUGAGGAAGGUGGCUUGCGCUUUCGGGUAAAGUGUUUAUAGCCUUGUAUCCUCUGCAGUCGGAGAGAUUGAGGUCUGCAGCGUAGAUCCUUCGGGGUUAGAUACGUUUGUGCUAAGUUAUAGCUUUUCAUAGACAACUUGUUGACUAUGUUUAGUCUUGUAGCUUACUCGCUGACGCUAUUUUACCUACGCUUAGGAUGUUGAUAGUCACAGCGUGUAC